rnacentral:rRNA from 1 species
GACGAACGCUGGCGGCGUGCUUAACACAUGCAAGUCGAACGGAAAGGCCCUGCUUUUGUGGGGGGCUCGAGUGGCGAACGGGUGAGUAACACGUGAGUAACCUGCCCUUGACUUUGGGAUAACUUCAGGAAACUGGGGCUAAUACCGGAUAGGAGCUCCUGCUGCAUGGUGGGGGUUGGAAAGUUUCGGCGGUUGGGGAUGGACUCGCGGCUUAUCAGCUUGUUGGUGGGGUAGUGGCUUACCAAGGCUUUGACGGGUAGCCGGCCUGAGAGGGUGACCGGCCACAUUGGGACUGAGAUACGGCACAGACUCCUACGGGAGGCAGCAGUGGGGAAUAUUGCACAAUGGGCGGAAGCCUGAUGCAGCAACGCCGCGUGCGGGAUGACGGCCUUCGGGUUGUAAACCGCUUUCGCCUGUGACGAAGCGUGAGUGACGGUAAUGGGUAAAGAAGCACCGGCUAACUACGUG